rnacentral:rRNA from 1 species
GCCCAACAGCUAGCCCACCAAAACAAUUUCAACAAGCCCCUGUUAAUAACCCCUAAUACCCCCGUAUUAAAAUUAAGCAAACCAUUUUUCCCCCUUAGUAUAGGCGAUAGAAAAGGAACUACGGCGCAAUAGAGAAAGUACCGCAAGGGAAUGCUGAAAGAGAAAUGAAACAACCCAGUAAAGCCUAAAAAAGCAGAGAUUAAAUCUCGUACCUUUUGCAUCAUGAUUUAGCGAGUGUACCCCAAGCAAAGCGUACUUUAGUUUGACGUCCCGAAACUACGUGAGCUACUCCAAGACAGCCUAUUAAUAGGGCACACCCGUCUCUGUGGCAAAAGAGUGGGGAGAGCUUUGAGUAGAGGUGACAAACCUACCGAACCUAGUUAUAGCUGGUUGUCCAAGAAAUGAAUAGAAGUUCAGCCUCUUGGCUUCUCUUUUCACCCUAGAUUAACCCCUAUUGAUGCAACAAAGAAACCAAAAGAGUUAGUCAAAGGGGGUACAGCCCCUUUGAAUCAAGACACAACUUUUCCAGGAGGGU